AGCUCCAUUAGCGUAUAUUAAAGUUGUUGCAGUUAAAAAGCUCGUAGUUGGAUUUCGGUGUGGGCCUGUCGGUCGGCCGCGAGGCCUGUUACUGACUGGUUCGCUCUUCCUCCCAAAGACUGCACGUGCCCUUCGCUGGGUGUGUGUAUUGGAUUUGGGACGUUUACUUUGAAAAAAUUAGAGUGUUCAAGGCAAGCUUUGAGGCUUGAAUACAUGAGCAUGGAAUAAUGGAAUAGGACCUCGGUCCCUAUUUCGUUGGUUUCACGGACCGAAGUAAUGAUUAAGAGGGACAAUUGGGGGCAUCCGUAUUUCGUAGUCAGAGGUGAAAUUCUUGGACCUACGAAAGACGAACAACUGCGAAAGCAUUUGCCAAGAGUGUUUUCAUUAAUCAAGAACGAAA
rnacentral:rRNA from 1 species